GUUCUUCACUGUCGUUGUGUUUUUUUUUUCACAAUAGGACACAGAGUUAGUAAGGCGUAUAGAGAUAAUAAUAUCAUUUAAUAUUUAUUAACAGCUAUGGCCUCAUCUAUAGAUUUUAUUGAGAGUAUCUGAUUCGUCGAAACAAUAUACACAAUAUUCCU